CCGAGUUAGGGUCUCACCGGCCCGAUCUCCCAACCCUUUGUCUACUUGACCAUCGUUGCUUCGGCGAGCCCGUCCUCACGGACCGCCGGGGGGUCUCUGUACCCCUUGGCCCGCGCUCGUCGAUAGCCCCCAAAUAAAAAAAUCUUAACUAAACGUGUCUUGAAUCUAAGUAUUAUUGUUAAAUAAAAACAAAACUUUCAACAACGGAUCUCUUGGUUCUGGCAUCGAUGAAGAACGCAGCGAAAUGCGAUAAGUAAUGCGAAUUGCAGAAUUCCAGUGAGUCAUCGAAUCUUUGAACGCACAUUGCGCCCUUUGGUAUUCCGAAGGGCAUGCCUGUUCGAGCGUCAUUAUCACCCCUCAAGCCCUCGGCUUGGUGUUGGACGGUUUGGUGGAGACCCCCUUUGCGGGCUUCUACCCCUCCCAAAGACAAUGACGGCGGCCUCGUUGGACCCCCGGUACACUGAGUUCUUCACGGGACACGUAUCGGACACACGGGUUUACGGGACACGGUCUGCCUCCCCUCAGGGAGAAUCUUUUUUUAUCAAG
rnacentral:misc_RNA from 1 species